CUUCCAGUAGCACCUUAGAGACCAACUAAAUUUGUUAUAGGUAUGAGCUUUCAUGUUCAUGCACACGUGUGCAUGUAUCUGAAGAAGUGUGCAUGCACAUGAAAGCUUAUACCAAGAAUAAACUUAGUUGGUCUCUAAGGUGCUACUGGAAG